rnacentral:rRNA from 1 species
CUACGGGCGGCUGCAGUGAGGAAUAUCGGUCAAUGGCCGAGAGGCUGAACCAGCCAUCCCGCGUGCAGGAUGACGGCCCUAUGGGUUGUAAACUGCUUUUCUACGCCAAGAAAUCUGAUUACGUGUAAUUAGUUGACGGUAGCGUAGGAAUAAGCAUCGGCUAACUCCGUGCCAGCAGCCGCGGUAAUACGGAGGAUGCAAGCGUUAUCCGGAUUCAUUGGGUUUAAAGGGUGCGCAGGCGGGCUUGUAAGUCAGUGGUGAAAUACUGCCGCUUAACGGUAGAACUGCCAUUGAUACUGCAAGUCUUGAAUAUGGUUGAGGUAGGCGGAAUGUGUUGUGUAGCGGUGAAAUGCAUAGAUAUGACACAGAACGCCGAUUGCGAAGGCAGCUUACUAAGCCAUUAUUGACGCUGAGGCACGAAAGCGUGGGGAGCGAACAGGAUUAGAUACCCGAGUAGUC